GUUUUAAUAGUUUAAUCAAAAACAUCGGUCUUGUAAACCGAAAUCAAAAGCCCUUUUUUAAAACU
rnacentral:tRNA from 1 species